UUUAUUUUGCCUCGUAGCAAAUAUCGGGGUCUUAGAUCAUAAUUUCUGCUUUUGUCCAACAGCGAUCUUUCUCGCAACUAUCUCAAUGGAUCGAUCCCUGCAGCAUGGGCUUCCCUUCCUCUCACCAAUUUGUCGCUUUUGGGAAAUCACAUUUCUGGAACAAUUCCAAAGGAGCUAGGAAACAUCAUGACACUCAAGUCACUAGUCAUUGAAGUUAACGAGGUCGAAGGACCUCUUCCUCCAGAGCUUGGUAAUUUGCGCAGCUUGGAGAGAUUCCUUGCUUGUUCGAAUAACUUGACAGGAGAAAUACCUGUCACCUUCGGCAACCUGAGAAACUUGACGGACUUAUCCCUGAUUUCAUCGGGAACUGGACACGACUCAAGAGACUGGAUAUGCAAGGCACGUCUAUGACGGGACCUAUUCCUUCUAACAUCUCUUUCUUGGUGAAUCUAACUGAACUGAGGAUAUCUGAUUUGAAUGGAUCGAGCAUGCCUUUCCCUGCAUUGGGGGAUAUGACUAAAAUGCAGAAAUUGGUACUAAGAAAUUGCUUGAUUUCUGACAUAAUCCCACAAUAUAUUGGGACAAUGACAAAUCUGAAAUCCUUAUAACUUACCUUUAACAAUUUGACAGAAGAAAUUCCAAGCAGCUUUUCAAGACUCUCAGCGCUAGAUUAUAUGUAUCUUACUAGCAACAUGCUGACUGGGGUCAUACCCUCUUGGGUCCGAGGUAGCAACCAUUACUUGU